rnacentral:rRNA from 1 species
CAGUAGCCGCGGUAAUACCAGCAGCCCAAGUGGUGGUCGCGUUUAUUGGGCCUAAAGCGCUCGUAGCCUGGCCGGUAAGUUCCCCGUGAAAUCGGGUCGCCCAACGAUUCGGCUUGCGGGGAAUACUGUCGGUCUUGGGGCCGGGAGACGCCGAGGGUACUCCGGGGGUAGCGGUGAAAUGCUGUAAUCCUCGGGGGACUACCAGUGGCGAAGGCGCUCGGCGAUAACGGGCCUGACGGUGAGGGGCGAAAGCUGGGGCGCGAACGGGAUUAGAUACCCGCGUAGUCCCUGUCUCUUAUCC